GAUGAAGAACGCAGCGAAAUGCGAUACGUAAUGUGAAUUGCAGAAUUCAGUGAAUCAUCGAAUCUUUGAACGCAUAUUGCGCUCUUUGGUAUUCCGAAGAGCAUGCUAGUUUGAGUAUCAGUAAACACCUCAAAGCUUUUGGAUUUUUUAAUCGAAAAGCUUUGGACUUGAGCAAUCCCAACACCAAUCUUUUUGAGAUCGGUGGCGGGUUGCUUGAAAUGCAGGUGCAGCUGGACAUUCUCCUGAGCUAAAAGCAUAUUCAUUUAGUCCCGUCAAACGGAUUAUUACUUUUGCUGCAGCUAACAUAAAGGGAGUUUGACCGUAUUGGCUGACUGAUGCAGGAUUUCACAAGGGUCGGCAACGAUUCUUGUUAAACUCGAUCUCAAAUCAAGUAAGACUACCCGCUGAACUUAAGCAUAUCAAUAAGCGGAGGA
rnacentral:misc_RNA from 1 species